rnacentral:rRNA from 1 species
UGGCUCAGGACGAACGCUGGCGGCGUGCCUAACACAUGCAAGUCGAACGAGGUCCAAGGAAGCUUGCUUCCUGAAGACCUAGUGGCGAACGGGUGAGUAACACGUGAGAAACCUGCCUCGGAGUGGGGAAUAACUCGGGGAAACUCGAGCUAAUACCGCAUACCUUCACAUGAUCGCAUGGUCGAGUGAAGAAAGAAUUUCGCUCUGAGAGGGUCUCGCGGCCUAUCAGCUUGUUGGUGGGUAACGGCCUACCAAGGCAACGACGGGUAGCUGGUUUGAGAGAACGAUCAGCCACACUGGGACUGAGACACGGCCCAGACUCCUACGGGAGGCAGCAGUGGGGAAUCUUGCGCAAUGGGCGAAAGCCUGACGCAGCAACGCCGCGUGCGGGAUGACGGCCUUCGUGGUUGUAAACCGCUUUCAGCAGGGACGAAAAUGACGGUACCUGCAGAAGAAGCCCCGGCUAACUACGUG